AGAGACAGAAAGAGAGAGGAAACGAAAGGAAAAGCAGGAAGGCAGAAGAGGAGGAAGAGGAGAAGGAGUGGAGAAUGAGUGAGAGAGAGAGGGGAAAAAGGGAUGAGACACAUUGAGAAAAACAAAAAGAGGGUGGUGGACCAAAGGAGGGAACCGAGGUGGGGUAAGAAGAGAAAGGGAGGAAGAGCAAUUAGCGAAAUGGUGAUGUAGAAACCUCCUUAUAACUGGUGGCAUUAGUGUUAUUAGGGCACUAUAUCGACGUAGGCAGGGGGAUAGCUGGAGGUUUCAGCAUGGGGGACACAGAUAUUAUACACACAGUCCACUCCUGAGAUGUGCACUUUGGGAAAUGCAAACUCAUGUACAAUGAUGAAGUGCACAUUUGUGUACAACGUGUACGUGCAUGGCAAUUUAAAACUUCACCAGUCCCAAUUCAAAAUACAUUAAUUUUUAAUUGCUCUGGAUAUCCACAUGCUCCACUUUAGUGUGUGCUUUCCAGGCGGCCCCAAACCAGAGCAUUUAUCAGGAGUCCACUGCAUUCUUAUUGUUUAUUGGGUACCUGGAAUCUGAGUUACUUUACUCUGGGCAGUUUGGUCAUGAUACUGUUACUAUUAGAUCUAGGCUAGGGCCACUGACAAUCACAGUGUUUACAGCGCCUGAAUACACCAACUGGACUUGGCAUUUAGUUAUGUUCUACAUGCUAAGACAUAAGGUAGGAAAGUACACUUCUUAGGGCAUUAACUGGACUUGACAUUUAGUUAUGUUCUACAUGCUAAGACAUAAGGUAGGAAAGUACACUUCUUAUGGCAUUAACUGGACUUGGCAUUUAGUUAUGUUCUACAUGCUAAGACAUAAGGUAGGAAAGUACACUUCUUAUGGCAUUAACUGGACUUGGCAUUUAGUUAUGUUCUACAUGCUAAGACAUAAGGUAGGAAAGUACACUUCUUAGGGCAUUAACUGGACUUGACAUUUAGUUAUGUUCUACAUGCUAAGACAUAAGGUAGGAAAGUACACUUCUUAGGGCAUUAACUGGACUUGGCAUUUAGUUAUGUUCUACAUGCUAAGACAUAAGGUAGGAAAGUACACUUCUUAGGGCAUUAACUGGACUUGGCAUUUAGUUAUGUUCUACAUGCUAAGACAUAAGGUAGGAAAGUACACUUCUUAGGGCAUUAACUGGACUUGGCAUUUAGUUAUGUUCUACAUGCUAAGACAUAAGGUAGGAAAGUACACUUCUUAUGGCAUUAACUGGACUUGGCAUUUAGUUAUGUUCUACAUGCUAAGACAUAAGGUAGGAAAGUACACUUCUUAGGGCAUUAACUGGACUUGCCAUUUAGUUAUGUUCUACAUGCUAAGACAUAAGGUAGGAAAGUACACUUCUUAGGGCAUUAACUGGACUUGGCAUUUAGUUAUGUUCUACAUGCUAAGACAUAAGGUAGGAAAGUACACUUCUUAUGGCAUUAACUGGACUUGGCAUUUAGUUAUGUUCUACAUGCUAAGACAUAAGGUAGGAAAGUACACUUCUUAGGGCAUUAACUGGACUUGGCAUUUAGUUAUGGUCUACAUGCUAAGACAUAAGGUAGGAAAGUACACUUCUUAGGGAAUUAACUGGACUUGGCAUUUAGUUAUGUUCUACAUGCUAAGACAUAAGGUAGGAAAGUACGCUUCUUAGGGCAUUAACUGGACUUGGCAUUUAGUUAUGUUCUACAUGCUAAGGCAUAAUGUAGGAAAGUACACUUCUUAGGGCAUUAACUGGACUUGGCAUUUAGUUAUGUUCUACAUGCUAAGACAUAAGGUAGGAAAGUACACUUCUUAGGGCAUUAACUGGACUUGGCAUUUAGUUAUGUUCUACAUGCUAAGACAUAAGGUAGGAAAGUACGCUUCUUAUGGCAUUAA